rnacentral:tRNA from 4 species
GUCCCAGUAGCUCAGCCGGAUAGAGCAGCGGCCUUCUAAGCCGUCGGUCGGGAGUUCGAAUCUCUCCUGGGACG